AGCAUGCUAGUUGCACGAGUUCAUACUCGUGGCGAAAGCUCAGUAACACGUCGGCCAACUACCCUACAGAGAACGAUAACCUCGGGAAACUGAGGCUAAUAGUUCAUACGGGAGUCAUGCUGGAAUGCCGACUCCCCGAAACGCUCAGGCGCUGUAGGAUGUGGCUGCGGCCGAUUAGGUAGACGGUGGGGUAACGGCCCACCGUGCCGAUAAUCGGUACGGGUUGUGAGAGCAAGAGCCCGGAGACGGAAUCUGAGACAAGAUUCCGGGCCCUACGGGGCGCAGCAGGCGCGAAACCUUUACACUGCACGCAAGUGCGAUAAGGGGACCCCAAGUGCGAGGGCAUAUAGUCCUCGCUUUUCUCGACUGUAAGGCGGUCGAGGAAUAAGAGCUGGGCAAGACCGGUGCCAGCCGCCGCGGUAAUACCGGCAGCUCAAGUGAUGACCGAUAUUAUUGGGCCUAAAGCGUCCGUAGCCGGCCACGAAGGUUCAUCGGGAAAUCCGCCAGCUCAACUGGCGGGCGUCCGGUGAAAACCACGUGGCUUGGGACCGGAAGGCUCGAGGGGUACGUCCGGGGUAGGAGUGAAAUCCCGUAAUCCUGGACGGACCACCGAUGGCGAAAGCACCUCGAGAAGACGGAUCCGACGGUGAGGGACGAAAGCUAGGGUCUCGAACCGGAUUAGAUACCCGGGUAGUCCUAGCUGUAAACGAUGCUCGCUAGGUGUGACACAGGCUACGAGCCUGUGUUGUGCCGUAGGGAAGCCGAGAAGCGAGCCGCCUGGGAAGUACGUCCGCAAGAUGAAACUUAAAGGAAUU
rnacentral:rRNA from 1 species